UCUUUUUACCAUAUUCCACAGACACCAGGCCCUGGUACAUACCGUGUUUCUGAUCCAAAUACCGUCAAGAUGAAACUUCCUGCGUAUUCCAUGACUGGUCGCAACUGCAUGCCGGGUGACAAUACCCAGAAACCAGGCCCAGGAGCACAUUCACCAGAAAGGGUAACCAUGUGUUUGUUUCUGAUUCAUUCUGAUUAUCAGUAAAUCUGCCAGCUUCAGUAUACCAUACCUAAGUUGAAUGCAUGGUUGAUGUCAAUUGUUUAACCCACUGAGUGCCUGGUGUUGGACAGAUCGUGUAAAAUAAUAACCUCCACAUACACUAACCACCGUGCUAUAUACAAUCUGUGUUUGUUUCUUAUAGGUUUAUAUCAACAAGAAGAUUGCACCAAAGUUUUCAUUUGGUAUCCGCUGGUCUGAAUACACUGCACCAUUAAUAGCUGAACCAAUUGACUGAAGAUGCUGUGCAUUAUAAUAUGACUUCAAUAUUUAGACAAAUUAUCAUAUCAUACACUUGUCUUUAGACACAAUAUUUUUGUAUAUAUUAUGGGUUUUUGCCUGCUGCAAUCAGCUUGCUAAUUAUACUUUAAAGAUGAGGUCAAGUCUGUUCUGCGCAAGUGACUGGGCCUUCUGGUUUAAUUAAACAAUACCCACAUUUCAGGAUUUCAGGUUUUGCCGAAUGUUAAUGACAAAUGUUGUCAGUUGACAAUGUCUAUUCAGAUGACAUUGACAGCGUAUUUUUCAAAUAUCAUACAUUCUAUGAUUUAAUUAUCAAAAAGCUGAAUUAGCACGAUUAAUCGUUGAGUGUAAACGUGACUUAAUCUAUAUUCAUUUGAAAGCAUAGCAAACCAGAAUGAUGUUAGAUGUUAACUAAGUGCAUUAAUUAUAUUUUAUUAUAAAUAUGGCGUCUGCAAAUGUAAACAAACUGCAUGCACAUCUACUGAAUGAACUUGACUGCCUGAUGUAAGGUCAAUUGAGACUAAUAUACUAGAGCUAGAGUUAUGUUUUUGGUGGCAAAUAAAUAACAGAGAGAGAUUUACUUGGAUUUGCUUGCUGGUUGACGUAUGUCUACAUUUCUAAAAUUGUCCAUUAUCUGUCGCCCUUGUGGGGCUUCCCGAAACCUACACUACAGUACCAAUUAAUGAUGAUCAUAAUAAUAUGAAUGUUGGAUAAUGAUGCACAAUGUUAUAGAUGGAAAGUUCAAACAAAGUCAAAGUUCCUGAUCCAACAUUUACUGGAGAUGUAGGACCUAUAUCAUGGCCUCGUUUGAACAGGCCUUUAAUUAAAUUAAACAAGUCCAGUUUUUGGAUGAUAAGAAAAGUGUGUUAAAAUGCAUGAACUGAUAUAUCACAUUACAAUAAAAUAUCAAUUAA